UUUCCCUAACUGCAUGGGGCUGGCUGCAGGUGGGUCCUGCCUUCCCUUAAACACCUAUGCCCACUGGGACAUGUUCUGCAGUGGAGUGUUUCUGGAAAAACUACAAUUCCAUCUAGAGGAUGAGCUCUGCUUGGGGUAACAGGGCUUUGCUCAGUCACCUCUCUGGUCCCAGCUCCCUGCACACCUAAUGCUGGCGCAUCCAAGGCCAUUGCUGCUGAAACCCAUGGCCCAGGUGCUUGUCCAGCUUGCUGUUUCCAAGUGGAGGAAUGGGUGGUCUUGGCUGGGCCUGCAGCUUUACCAGUUUUUCUUGGGUGAAGUAGCUCCUUGUGAACACGGAAACCCCAAUAUGCCUGGGAGAGUCACCUUCCAGAGAUGUCGGAAGCAACAUCUACAAGAUGUGAUGAUGCUAGAGACAAAAACCAUCUGGGAGCGAAGAAGAAAGUCUCUUCCAAAUCAGAGUCCAGCUCACAGUGUCUGCUAUGAAACACGGUGA
rnacentral:lncRNA from 1 species